rnacentral:rRNA from 1 species
CCUACGGGACGCAGCAGUGAGGAAUAUUGGUCAAUGGGCGAGAGCCUGAACCAGCCAAGUCGCGUGAAGGAUGACGGCCCUACGGGUUGUAAACUUCUUUUGUCAGGGAGCAAUUGGGUCCACGUGUGGGCUUAGCGAGAGUACCUGAAGAAAAAGCAUCGGCUAACUCCGUGCCAGCAGCCGCGGUAAUACGGAGGAUGCGAGCGUUAUCCGGAUUUAUUGGGUUUAAAGGGUGCGCAGGCGGAGGCACAAGUCAGCGGUAAAAUCGCGGGGCUCAACCCCGCUCCGCCGUUGAAACUGUGUCC